GGAAGAGGAAAUAUCAAUUGAGAUAUUUUAUGUUACUACCUAAUAUUAUAAUAUAUAUAAAGUAUAUGUUAUAUAUUUGUGUGGUUGUAAGAGAAAGAGAAAGAAAAGAAGAAAGGGGAGAGUAGAGAAGAGGAAAAGAGAAGAAAGAAGAAGAGAGAAAGAAGGAAGAAAUAGUUGAAAUUGAACAUGGUUGUUGAGGUUGUUAAGAAC
rnacentral:lncRNA from 1 species